rnacentral:rRNA from 1 species
UACGUAGGGUGCGAGCGUUGUCCGGAAUUAUUGGGCGUAAAGAGCUCGUAGGCGGUUUGUCACGUCGGCCGUGAAAACCUGCAGCUUAACUGUGGGCGUGCGGUCGAUACGGGCAUCACUGGAGUUCGGCAGGGGAGACUGGAAUUCCUGGUGUAGCGGUGAAAUGCGCAGAUAUCAGGAGGAACACCGGUGGCGAAGGCGGGUCUCUGGGCCGAUACUGACGCUGAGGAGCGAAAGCGUGGGGAGCAAACAGG